CAAUGUCCAGCAGCAAAGUAAAAAUUACAGCAGCAACAACUAACAAAACAAGCCCAAACACUUCUACAGUAUCACUUAUAAAAAAUUACAGCAACAACAACUAACUACAACAGUCAACUAAGUAACUAAGUAACUACAGGCCUACAGCAGCAACCAGCAACCAGCAACCAGCAACCAGCAAGGCAGCAACCAGCAGUCCAGCAACCAGCAUUAGCAUCACUGCAUCAGCGAGACAACGAUUCAGCAUCAACAAGCUCCAGUCUUGCAGUUUCCCAAUAGCACUACAACAGUCAACAAUAACAGAUUAACAGUAAUAAAAAAAACAAUUGUAUACUGAACUAAAUUACUGAUAGCAGUAAACAAAUACUUAUUGACUAGCUCUUUCUUGUUUUCCUGCAGAACAGAAAAAAAAACCCAAAAACACAAGUAUAAAACAGAGAAUACUGUCAUUUGCCUCGCUCUCAUGUCCAAUUGGAUCAAGGUCAUCAAGGUUAGGCUCGUCCGUAUCAUUCACCAUGUGCAAAUCAUUUAAAAGACCUCUUGACAUCAUCUACAAAUGUCAAACAAAUCAAAUUAACAUGUCAAUCACUAAUAACUAUCAACAUUGGUGUUUUGCAACAUACGAUAACUGCAAUUCACCAGACUCACCACUGUACAAGGCUACAAGCCUAUAUUAUUAAGGAAUAACACAUAAAACUAAAACUAAAAUCUAGUCAGUAGACAAUAGUCACCACCCUCACACCUUUAAAAAACAGUCAGUCGACUCAGUCCUAAUAAACUUUAAAAAGGUCUAUUGUAAACUGAAAUUGCAGUCAGAGACUCAGAAUCCAAAUUCACUUCAAAUACAUAAUACCCAAGCUCAUCAAAUGAUUAAAAGUUGACUAGUGUUACUAUGUGUGUGUGUGAAUGCAGUAACAAAGUUACCAACUUAUCAUGAUUAGAACCACUAUGAAGGCAUCAUGUAAAUUUUUAUAGUAACUUGAUUCAUUAUCAAUGUCAGUCACACAACUAUAGAAAUCCCCAUGGUAAAAAAAUAAUCGAGUAACGAGAAAAUUAGACAUGAAAUCAGUUGACAGUGGAAUCAAUUGAUGAGCUUGGAAUAAAAAAAUUACCCAAAUUAAAUCAAAUCAUGAAAUCAAAUCAUAACCCAAAUUAAACUGUAAGGAUACACAGAGUAAAAAUUACUAAGAUAAUCGAAAAACCCUCUUCUUCUUUUGGGUAAAAAAGUGACCAUUCUGAAGAAAAACAAUUAAACCUAAAUUAGAUAAUAAACAAAUAAAAGAAACCCAAAUUGACAAGAACCAAAUUAAACCCAAAUUAGACAAGACACACAAAGAAGAAGCUAUCAGUAAAAUCAAUAAACUUAAUCCCCAACAAAACAACAUGCAGUCAGCCAGUCAUGCACACGAAUCUUGAUAGAGAUUAGAGAUUAGUGAAUGAAAUUUACCUGUCGGACUAGGGAGAGCAGGAGAGAGCCGGACUGCAAAAGGUCAGACGGCGCGACAAACAGUGAGAGCCGAGAGGCGGAGGCCGGCCGCCGGCGCAGAGAUUGAGUCAGACACUCGGACAGUCGGACUAUCGGAGAGAGGCGGAGACUGGAGAUCAGAUGAUGUAACGAGAAGCAAGAAGAGGCUGAGCCGCUGAGGAAUGGAUUUCAGAUCUCAGAUCUGGGACUGGGAGACUGGGACUGGGUGGGAGAGACGACUGGUCGGCUACGGGUAGGGCAAAAAACAAUGUAAC
rnacentral:lncRNA from 1 species